ACGGGUCCCGAGAAGGCUCAAGCCAAGGGGGCGGGGCGAGUGGGGCCGAGGCGCCAUUUUUAAACAGCCGAGUUAAGCGAGAGAUGGUUGAGGCGAGUGAAGGAGCCUGAAAAGGGAAGGAAGGGCCGUCUGGAGAGGGCGCUUUUUCGUUCAUUCCCUUCCUAAGAGUCCGGCCUCGGAUUUCAAGAUGGCAUAGAUGAUUCUCCAUCCCAUUUUUAUCAGCACAACGGCCUUGGGAGCCAGAAUGGAUACCUUGCCAAACGUCCUUUCUCCAGUGGGUGGAAAUGCUGAUGUUGCUAGCUCACAUGCAGAAGUGCAGAAAUUGUUAAUUGAUGAAAGGAUACGAUGUGAACAUCAUAAAACUAAUUAUCAAACUCUAAAAGCAGAACAUACAAGGUUACUUGAUGAAUAUACAAAAUUGCAAAAUGAGCUCAAACAGCUGUUGCAUGAAAAACAAACUGUCCAUGAAAAAUUUCAACUUCUGCUUGCUGAACUCAGGGAGGAACUAUUGGCCAAAACUAGAGAAAUAGAGGAAUUAAAAAUGCAGGUAAUAACUCCACAGAAGCUUGAAUUGUUGAAAGUACAAAUACAGCAAGAUUUAGAAACACCUAUGAGAGAACGCUUUCGAAAGCUGGAUGAAGAAGUAGAAAAAUACAGAGCAGAAUAUAACAAACUUCGAUAUGAACAUACUUUUCUCAAAUCAGAGUUUGAACAUCAGCGAGAAGAACAUGCUCGUAUUUUAGAGGAAAAUAAAUUAAAAUAUGAAUCUGAGAUAACAAGACUAGAUAAAGACAAAGAAGAAUUGCAUAAUCAGCUACUCAGUGUUGAUCCUACAAGAGAUAACAAACGUGUGGAAACUCUGUUAAGGGAAAAGACCCAUCUACUGCAGAAAGUAAAGGGGUUAGAAGCUGAAGUAGCAGAAAUUAGAGCCCAGAGAGAGGAUUCUAGUGUCCAAGCAGACAAUGUGCAGAGGCUGCAGCUGCGACAGCUGGCUGAGAUGCAAGGGACAAUAAGAUCCCUGGAGGCAGAGAAACAGUCUGUUAAGCUACUUCUUGAGCGUGUUGAAAAGGAGCUACAGAUGAGCAAUGAGCAAAAUACUCUCCUAACAGGCAAGCUGCAUAAAGCGGAACGAGAGAUCAAUGGCUUGGCUACUAAAGUCGAAGAACUUAAGCAUUCACACAAGUUAGAAGUAACAAACAUCAAGUUGGAAUCGGCGAGAGCUAGGAGCGAGAUAGAAAGAGAAAGAAACAAGAUUCAAAGUGAAAUGGAUGGGUUGCGUUCUGAUAAUGAAAUACUUAAAACAACACUUGAGCGGCACAAAGUCAUACUAACAGAAAAGGAUCGUGAAUUAAUACGCAAAGUGCAAGCUGCAAAAGAAGAAGAAUUCCAGAAACUUGCAAUGUUGCAGGAGGAAAAGUUAGAACUUGAGACUACAUUGGCUGAACUAAAGAAAGAAAUAGUAGAGCAAGAUACUCAGAAGCAAUCACAAAAGGAUCAAUAUGAAAAAAAGCUAUCCACUCUGCAGUUGGCAGAAGAAUCUAGCAAAAGAGAGAUCCAGAAUCUCAGAUUAAAACUUCAACAGCAAGCUUCAAAUUCUGAGGAGCUAGAAAGAGAAAGAAGUGAAAAUGCUGAUCUAAAGCAGCGCAACCAUGAUUUGCAGCUCCAAGUGGCUUCCUUUUCACAGUCAGAAAAUGACUUGCUAGAUUCCAAUCAGAAACUCAAGGAACUACUGGAGAGAUUAAAAAUCGAAUGCCGGAAUGCACGAAGUCAAGCAGAAAGGGCUCAGUUAGAUUCAGAGAAACAUUUGGAAGAAAAGCGUGUAGAAUGGUUAGAAGAAAAACACAAAUUAAUUCAACAUACCACAGAGAUGGAGGAGAAAUAUAACCAGACGAGAGAAAAAUUGCAACGAGCAGCAGUUGCUCAAAAAAAGAGAAAGACCCUUAAUGACAAUAAGCAAAAGAAAUUGAUGAAGAAGAUAGAGCUUUUAGAAGCCAAAAGAGAAGAACUGGAAACUGAAAACCAGGUGUUAAAUAGGCAGAAUGUUCCUUUUGAAGAACACAUUCGCCUUCAGAAAAGGCUGAAGGAUUUGCAGAGGAGACAUAAUGAAUUCCGGAGGAUAAUUCUAUUUCCCAACAUUCCAAUUUUGAAUCCCGUCAGCCUGCUCUCAUCCACUUUGAUUCCUGGACCAGAAGCAUCCUUUCCACUUCUGCAGAAUUCAAUAAACAGGAAAUUUGACUAAUGAUUUUAUCAACAAGUUCUCAAGAUCAGAUAACCUGAAAACUACCUCAUUUGAUUAAGCUGAGAACUGACUCCAAGGAAAAAAAAGUAUUUUGGGUGUUUCAAAAGGACAGUCUUCUACACACCGAUGCCUGAUGAUGUGGUGAAUGUUUUUGGCUUUUCUCUUAAAAAUGAAAGAGUAAAAGGAACUUCACAUGGACUCCAUACCCCAGAUGAUGCUAAAAGGGCAACACUAUAGAAACAGCUGCAAUCCUUUGCUUCUCCUACAUCAUCUAAUACUACAAUCAUUACAUUAUCAUCAUCAUUUCUUCACUGAUGUGUGAUGGGAAGUUGCUGCCAAUUGCAAGAGAAAUAAGGUUGAACACUGUGAAAUCCACCCACCAUAAGGCUAUCAGUCUCCUCCCAGUAGACUUAAAUCAAGGAAAAGUUUCAUGAGAACCUCCACUCCUCUAAAUGUUCCUCCAGCAACAGCAAGAAUAUCCCGCUGGGCAACAAAAUCAGGCAAUUCCAACUGGAUGGUCCCAUGAGGGUCUGCCUCCAGUGGCAAAUGAAGAAUGGGAAAUUUGGAAGUCUUUGAACAGAUUCAGAAGUGGAGUUGGCAAAAUGGCACUACCUAGAAGAAUCCUCUACCUCGUGCGACUUUGGAGCAGAAUAAACAACUCCGCAUAUUACUUAGGCGAUCCCUCGUAGUUCGAGGAGGAUUGUCUUCCAUCUUCGGUUUCUUGGGGGUGGGUUCUUAGCAUAUGUAUGCUUGCCCGCAAUGCCCUGCCUCAUGCACAGAGGAAGAACUGUUUAAAGCUACAGACAAUGCAGUCGCUGUUGCCUGUUUCUGGUCUAAAAUUAUUUAGCUGCUUGUGCUUCAUUCAUUUUAUCAGUUUCAAACUUACUUAUUUAUGCAAUGCUUUUGACACAAAAUGAAUAUAUAAUUUCUUCACUCGGCGUUUCUCACAAAAUUGACUGAAAUCUCUCAAGGCUCCUGCUGAAAUCAAUUAGUCUUAUUAGAGAUCCCAUUAGAUUCCUGCUCCCAUGCCAUUUUUGUUUUUACCACCGUAGUUAGUUAAUCUUCAAUCUUCUAAGGAACUUUUAAAAUAAAGUUGGAAUAUUAAUAUACAGAAGAUGCUCUAAUUUUUUAAAAAACUGGGAAUUCAGGGUUGAGCUAAGAAGUGGGUUUUUGCUUAUCUCAUGAAGCAAAUGUCAGGCAGUUAAGACAACUUCCCCAAUCUAGUGCACAACCAAUGGAUGUGUAAAAAAAUUAAAA